GCUGGUUAGCUAAGUUGGCAGAGCGCUCCCCUUGAAAUUGAGAGGUUCCUGGUUCGAUACCAGGACCAGGCA
rnacentral:tRNA from 1 species